CGCAUCUGUGCAUGCAGCAUAUCAAUAAGCGGAGGAAAAGAAACUAACAAGGAUUCCCCUAGUAACGGCGAGUGAAGCGGGAAGAGCUCAAAUUUGAAAUCUUAAAGGGUUUCCCUUUACGAAUUGUAGUUUAAAGAAGUGUUUUCUGUUGAGGUUUUGGUAAAAGUUCUUUGGAAUAGGACAUCAUAGAGGGUGAGAAUCCCGUAUUUGACCUUUACUUCAACUUUGUGAUACACUUUCAAAGAGUCGGAUUGUUUGGGAAUGCAGUCCAAAAUGGGUGGUAAAUUUCAUCUAAAGCUAAUAUUGGCGAGAGACCGAUAGCGAACAAGUACCGUGAGGGAAAGAUGAAAAGAACUUUGAAAAGAGAGUUAAACAGUACGUGAAAUUGUCAAAAGGGAAGCGUUUGACACCAGUGUUGUUUUUCUGAAAAUCAAUUAAAGAACUGUUUAUGCUAAGCUGUUUAGACUUUAUCAGCUAACUGUUUAGUUUUGAGCUUUUCUUUAAUGCACUUUUCAGUUAACAAGUCAACAUCAAUUUCUUUUGCUGUAAAAAAGCUUGAGGAAGGUGGCUUGAGAUUCGUCUUAAGUGUUUAUAGCCUCUUGCCUAUGCAGUCGGAGAGAUUGAGGUCUGCAGCGUAGAUCCUUCGGGGCUAAAUGCAUUUGUGCUAAGUUAUAGCAUUUUAUAGACAACUUGUUGACUAUGAUUUGUCUUGUAGCUUACUCGCUUAUGUUAUUUUACCUACGCUUAGGAUGUUGAGUCAUCACACAUCUCU
rnacentral:rRNA from 1 species